UUCAUUUUCCCAUUGAUAUCGAUGUCAAUAAAGGGGCGUAAUGUACAUGGUGUAUAUAAAGACACUGCAUUACAAGUGAAAAUUGUUAUACUUGGAAUUACAAAUUCUCGGAAAAAAUACUUUCUGAUUCAGAAGCUGAGGGACUAAACUUUGAAAACGAUGUCAAAGAGUCGUAAACACCAAAAUAAACUGCAUUUUAAGGAACCACCAGCAAGAAGUUUUGUCCGCAGGUCAAGUCAACCAUUACCAGUUACAGCAGGAAAUGAAAACACCAUUUCUUCGCAAACGAGAACGGAAGAACUUCAUCGUCCACAAAGAAAUGACAUGGUCAGAGAAAGAAAAACAUCUAAUAGAACAGACGUACUCUCACAUAGGGCAGGAAGACAACAAACUCGAC